rnacentral:lncRNA from 1 species
UAAUCAAUGCUAAUCCCAGAGGAUAGGAAGGUGGAGCUUGUUUUAAGACGGGGGAAGGGCAGUGUCUGUGAUCAUGACACACAUCAGACGCUUCCCCUUCUAGACAUGUCAGGGGAUGUGAUGGCUUAUGGGAGGUGCUCUGGAAUAAAAGGGAGGGGGUUGUUCUUCCCUGGCCGGCUUUUAUCUUUAAUUGUCAACACUCCUGGCCUGCAGAGGAUUGAAAAGAAAACACUGCACAGGCCUAAAUCAGUCAGAGUAGCAGGGAAGGCGUGAGAUCCUCCACACUCAGGAUUUAAGUCUCUUCCUGCAAGUGGGGAACUUUGUUCUAUGCCUGGCCCACCUGUGCCUACUUCAAAAUGGUCCUGGACCUGGCCCCUGGUCUGCAAAGAAUGAAGUGAGGCAACAUCACUUGACCCCUAAAUCACUGAAGAAAUGUUUGCCUACCCAAGGAAAUGUGAUUCCUGGAAGUCCAGAUUUAUAAAGGAAAGAAGAGGAGUACUCACUGGCUGGCUGGCUGGCUCCCCUCAAGCUCCCUGGAAGAUCCCUUCUGUAGAAGAUAUUCUUCAGCAUUCGCUGCUGGAACCACCCAUCCCACCUGUAGUCAUAAGAGCAUCCCCGAGUCUCAUCUCAGUUUUCCUCCCUGAGAGCCCAGCUAAAUGCAGAAAGCUGGAGAGUAGCAAUUUUCGUGGAGUCAAGAAAUAUUUUCCUGUAAUUAUGUCUCUAUCAAAAAUUGGAAAAAGAGAAAUGAAUUGAGGACUUUGGAAUCCUUACACUAAGCUGCUCCACUUAUUUAUGCCAGCUCACUGGCCUCUGGUCCACAGGGAUUGCGUUGAACAUCCUUGAACACCAGUGAAGCACAGCCACCAACCAGUCAGAAUGGUUGCCAUCUGUGCACAAACAAUGCCGGUGCAUGCCCUGUGAACCUCAGCCCUGUGCCUGGGGGAUUUUCCUCCCUGCUUCAGCAGGUUUCUCUAGCUCUCUGGGUGUCAUUCCAUGUUGCAUCUGUCCUUCUUCCUGAAAUAUCAGGGAGUGUGAGCAGUGGGCUAUUUGGAGUGUGCUUGGGAGCAUCCUGGGGAACUAGGAGAAGAUCAAUUUCUCCUUUUUGGCAAAGGAGUGGAGAUGCCAGCUCCACCCUGCCGUCCUUGAGGGGAAAUGGAACCGAUCAUCAUGUCCACGCUUGUCCUGCAUAGUGCAGUUGACAGAGCUGUCUCCCUGGGCCCUCAGCUGAGGGAUCCUCAUACCAAACCUUCUGAGGAAAGAGUGGGAACUAACCCCACUUUGCAAAAGAGGACCACAGACAGUCAAAGAACAGGAGCAGUGAAGUCAGAAGGACACAGACCCAGACCUGCAUUUUAGUCCAUUCGAACACUUCGAAAACACUCGCUCCUCAAGGGAAGUGACUUUUUGGGAUUUCCACAGCAAGUGCUUAAUAAGUGUUAAAAAACAAAACAAAACAAAACAAAAAAAACAAGCGUUGUUUAAUGCAUUAAUAUUUUAACAGAGCACGUCUGCGCCUUUCAAGCAAAUCUAGUCACUACUCAACAGUCACCUUAGCCUUCAUGCUAGGCACAAAGACAGAUUUUGGGUUUUAUAUGGAAGAUGGGCUUUUUGUGGCAGUAAAAUGUUUUAUUUUAUUUUUACAAAUUAUAAUACAAUAAAAUUGACUUUUUCUUUUGGUGUAUACAAUUUUAACCCAUAUACACAUUUAUGUAACCACCUUCAGGAUACAGAUCUAUUACGCUAAAAAACUCCUUCAUGCUAGCUGUCUGUCUUAAAAAAAAUUAUACUGAUGUACAUGUAAAAUGAAAGCUACAAGGAUAUUUGUAAAAUAAAGUAUACAUUUUAUCCAUAUGAAAUCAAGAUAGAAUUUCUUUCUCUCUUUCUCUCUCUCUCUCUGUCUCUCUCUCUUGUGUGUGUGUGUGUGUGUGUGUGUGUUAAAGGAUUGUAUUUCCUUCCACUUUGGAGGAUAUAAAAUCUUGAGAAAUAAUCUAUACAGGCUAUCAUUGAAGAGAAUUUUCAAUAAUUCUGUAAAGCAAUAUGAUGGUUUGACCAUUUUAGAUUGUGAUGGAAGGCAUAAGAGGAAGCAAGGUGAACCACUGGGGUGGUGCCUAAACAUAGUGGCCCUGGGAGUGAGGCUUCUGAACACUUUCCCCACCCCAACUCACAAGAUCUUCUGUGCCUAUACUACUCACCGCUCCCUCCUUCAGCAAUGGAUCUGGAUAUCUCUCCAGGUUUGUUCUCUCUUCUCUCUUCUGCCUCCUUUCAUAUCCCACCAACUUGCCUCUUUUUUACCUUCUGUGGAGACAAAAGUGACUCCAUCUUGGAUGCUAAUCCACCAUCUUGACUUUUUAUCAGCCCCAGUUCUGUGAAGGCCUCCUGAUUCCUCCUUUAUUUACUGUCCCUAGUGUAAGAACAUGUGCUCCUGAUUUUAGAUCAAAGCAAUCUUGAUGUUUUCACACAAAUUAUAGGCUAUGACACAUGUAGCAUUCUUGCUUGUUCUGGAUGGUUUAAUUGUCUUUCUAGAGCAUGUAUACCCUUUCCUUAUGGUGGAUAAGCCUUGGGUUUGCGGAGUAACAUGUGAAGAUCUACCUAUCUUGGGGCCACCCAAGACCAUGCUUCUGUCUAUAAGUUCCCUCAAUAAAUUACCCAAUACAAAGUAGAUUUGUCUACCACCUCCUUUAGUUUCCUGGCUCCUGCGACAUCUGGGGGCUGUUAAGCAUAUACAGCCAUUUCACAGAACUCCUAGGAAAAGGAGAUACAAAGAUCCGAGAAGAGUGGGAAAGAGAAGGUGUUCUGAGAGACAGGAAUGUAAGAGUGUAUUGACAAAAGGGAAAAGAUGUCCUUUUCCUGUCCCACCAAAAUUUUACCUAGUUUGGACUCUGCCUGUUCACCUAACAUGGCCUAAAGUAACAGGUAGCUGUCCUCUCUCCCCACCUGCUGUCCAACUAGAGAGAUUACACAGCCCCCUUCCCCCACCCACACAUGGGAAACAGUCAUGCACCUGCCUUCCAGCCUUGCAGCCUGCUCUUCUGCACCCACUUGGUCGACCCUGCCCUUGGGCCCCUCCCUUAGAAGAAGGCUGGGAGCUGAGAGAAAAGGGAGAAGGAGAGAGAGAAGAGAGGGGAGGAACAAUGAGUACAGGUAAAAAGGAAGCUGAUGCUCACUUGCAUUCAGUGAAUUCCUAAUAAGAAAAAAAGACACACCGCCAGGUUCACUGCCCUCUAUAAAUAUUGGAACAGAGAAUAUUAGCAUAAUCCAAACCAUCUUAAUAAGACUUCUGAAUUCGGUAAACAAGUACACCCUUACUAGAUAUUUUUGGAAGUAGCUAUUUCUUGGGAUUUCACAGGAAGUGGAGCUUUUAUUUAGUCACUAAAACUAGUAUCCUUUGGAUAAUGCUUACUAUGACACCACUUACGAGAGGCUGUUUACUAAAUGAUUUUCAUUGGUUAUGAUAUCAUCUAGUUAUUCUAUGUGACUUCAGUGGGAAAGAGAAGAAAUACCUAAGUCAGUGGUUUUCUCAUUUUUAAAACGUUAAUUAUCAUUACCUCCAAUGAGGCUCCACAUACAGUGUCAAGGUAAAGACCAAACUGUGUAUUCAGUGUGUAUGCAUUUAUAUAUGACAUAUAUAUUUAAUAGACUACAACUAUACAACUAUUUUCAAAGUAUAUAAGCUUAAAAAGAAGAAACAAAGAAUGAUAGAAAAUGAAUUGUUUGUACUUCAUUGAAAAAUGUAC